rnacentral:rRNA from 1 species
CGGAGGGGGUUAGCGUUGUUCGGAAUGACUGGGCGUAAAAGCGCGCGUAGGCGGAUCGCAAAAGUCGGGGGUGAAAUCCCGGGGGCUCAACCCCGGAAUGGCCUUCGAGACUCGCGGUCUGGAGUUCGAGAGAGGUGGGUGGAAUUCCGAGUGUAGAGGUGAAAUUCGUAGAUAUUCGGAGGAACACCAGUGGCGAAGGCGGCCCACUGGCUCGACACUGACGCUGAGGCGCGAAAGCGCGGGGAGCAAAACAGGAUU